CAAUAGCGUAUAUUAACGUUGUUGCAGUUAAAAAGCUCGUAGUUGGAUUUCUGGAGGGAGCGUCGGCCCGUAUUUACGAGUGCGUGACGUCUCUGUCCAUCCUUGCGGGAAGGCACGGCAUUGAUUUGUUGUGUCGGAUCGCAUCAUUUACUGUGAAAAAAUUAGAGUGUUCAAAGCAGGCUUUCGCUUGAAUACAUUAGCAUGGAAUAAUAAGAUAGGACUUUGGUGCUAUUUUGUUGGUUGAGCCCAAAGUAAUGAUUAAUAGGGAUAGUUGGGGGCACCUGUAUUGCGUUGUCAGAGGUGAAAUUCUUGGAUUUACGCAAGACAAACAGCUGCGAAAGCGUCUGCCAAGGAUGUUUUCAUUAA
rnacentral:rRNA from 1 species